UACGUAGGGUGCAAGCGUUAUCCGGAAUUAUUGGGCGUAAAGGGCUCGUAGGCGGUCUGUCGCGUCGGGAGUGAAAACUCAGGGCUUAACCCUGAGCCUGCUUCCGAUACGGGCAGACUAGAGGUAUGCAGGGGAGAAUGGAAUUCCUGGUGUAGCGGUGAAAUGCGCAGAUAUCAGGAGGAACACCGGUGGCGAAGGCGGUUCUCUGGGCAUUACCUGACGCUGAGGAGCGAAAGUGUGGGGAGCGAACAGG
rnacentral:rRNA from 1 species